rnacentral:misc_RNA from 1 species
AAGUCGUAACAAGGUUUCCGUAGGUGAACCUGCGGAAGGAUCAUUAUCAAAAGUCAGUCGGCAGCCCUAGUGGCUACCGUCUACACCCAAGUCUUUUGUGUACUCAUUGUUUCCUCGGCGGCGUAAGUCGCCGAAUGGACAAAUCAAAACCUUUUUGUAAUUGCAAUCAGCGUCAUAAAAUAUAUUAAUAUUUACAACUUUCAACAACGGAUCUCUUGGUUCUG